GGAUUAGGCAUGCAAGUCGAGCGAUAUCCCUUUCUUGAGACAUUGAGACCGCAAGGUGGAUGUGUCGAUGGAGAGGGAAUAUAGCGGCAGAUUGGUGAGUAACACGUGAGUAAUUUACCUCCAAGUCGGGGAUAGCCUUGCGAAAGUGAGGAUAAUACCCGAUGUGUUUACGGUUGCAUAAGCAUUCGUAAGUAAAGGGGGCCCGCAAGGGUUCUUGUUUGGAGAUGAGCUCGCGUCCUAUCAGCUAGUUGGUAGGGUAACGGCCUACCAAGGCUUUUGACGGGUAGCUGGCCUGAGAGGGUGGUCAGCCAUAUGGGGACUGAGACACUGCCCCAACUCCUACGGGAGGCUGCAGUCGAGGAUAUUUAGCAAUGGGGGAAACCCUGACUAUGUGACGCCGCGUGAGGGAUGAAGGUCUUCGGAUUGUAAACCUCUUUCGAUAGGGAAGAAAACCUGCUCUAAUCAAGCAGACUGACGGUACCUAGAGAAGAAGCCACGGCCAACUCUGUGCCAGCAGCCGCGGUAAUA
rnacentral:rRNA from 1 species